AGCUACAUACAACCGCUCAAAUAUAGGUUUAAGUACAAAUUGAUUUGAAGUGAAGUGAACGCUUUACUCAAGUUAAAAGUCAUUAGAAAGAAAGCGAUUGACAAUCGAGGCGUUGAAAUAAGCGAGAGAUGAGUUUAUUUAGAUAAAUGAUUCGAAUCACGAAUGAAACAACGAAGAGUGCGAACGCUUUACUUAAUGACAAUGUCACCUAUAUAUGGCGUGACUUAUAAUAUAG
rnacentral:sRNA from 1 species